UUUUUUGAAGAUAUUCUGGACUUUUUAUUGAUUGUAUCUUCUCCCUUGAACUUACUAUCAUGUAUGGCCCUGCACAAAGUGUAAGCUGCAGACAGUAUUUCUCUGGAUCUUUGGAACAUAAAGUGACAAUCUUCUUCGUAAUGCAUCAGAUCAAAAGGAAACAACUGACUAUUUCAUCCAGCAUGUUUUCCAUGAAGAAUUGAAGUUUACAAAUAUUAAAGUUUGUUUAAAAUUUACAAAUAGACACUGGAAAUAUUGUUGCCACGUGUUGAAAAUUUGAAAAAACGCAAAUACUUUAUACUUUUUACUGGUGUUCGUAGAAAUAGUACAAUUUUGAAGUCUUAAAUUUGACCCCAAUUUAUUUUGUCAAAGUGCUGCUGUGCAAAGCAUUGCAAUAGUUAUAGUUUUCACAUUAAGGCGAUCAAGCUAUCUGUAAUUCCAUGGGUAUAAUCAGUUUUCUUAUUUGGUAACCAUUUUGUAAUAC